CAGCGCGAUGCUCGUACAAAUUAACGGAUCGAUUUUCACUUUCAGUGAUGAAUGAGAUUUAUGACCCCGUUGUGUCCGAUGGACAUAUAGAAGUCCCAAGAUCCCGGUGGCUUUCCUGAGAGAGGCUUACGGUCAAUGGACACUCCGUGCUGGAGGAGUCGCGGUGACCCUGCUGUCACACAAAGAGCAAUUGGAACAACAAGAGGCGUCGGCGCGCCUUCCCCAGCAGGCCUCUCUACCCAGGACUCCAUGCAACUGAUGAGGAUCUUCACAGGCAUGUCGUGCUUAUGAUUAAUGCAACAUCUGCCUGUUGGGGGUGUAGCCAUUUCCUGUGGUCUCCUCAUCUUCCCGUUCACAGUUGUCUGUGUGGCACCUUCUUCCUGUGUUACUCCUGUUGGAUGUGGUCCGUCCUUCGUGGUGGAAUACUGACAUUACCCCGGAUACCAUGGCUCUCGAUCCAGCACAAAGACUUGCUGUCCUGGUCACAGAUGCACCAGUGAGAUGCACACCAACAAUAUGUCCUCUUUUGAAC